UACGGAAGGCAGCAGUGGGGAAUAUUGCACAAUGGGCGAAAGCCUGAUGCAGCUAUGCCGCGUGUAUGAAGAAGGCCUUAGGGUUGUAAAGUACUUUCAUCGGGGAGGAAAAACAAAACUAAUAAUUUUAUUUCUUGACGUUACCCGAAAAAGAAGCACCGGCUAACUCCGUGCCAGCAGCCGCGGUAAUACGGAGGGUGCUAGCGUUAAUCAGAAUUACUGGGCGUAAAGAGCACGUAGGUGGUUUUUUUAAGUCAGAUGUGAAAUCCCUGGGCUUAACCUAGGAACUGCAUUUUGAAACUGAAAUACUAGAGUAUCGUAGAGGGAGGUAGAAUUCUAGGUGUAGCGGUGAAAUGCGUAGAUAUCUGGAGGAAUACCUGUGGCGAAAGCGGCCUCCUAAACGAAUACUGACACUGAGGUGCGAAAGCGUGGGGAGCAAAACAGGAUUAGAUACC
rnacentral:rRNA from 1 species